AAGUCGUAACAAGGUCUCCGUUGGUGAACCAGCGGAGGGAUCAUUACAGAGUUAUCUAACUCCCAAACCAUUGUGAACUUACCAUAUGUUGCCUCGGCAGAACCUACCCUGUAGCGGGCUGCCGGCGGACCUCUAAACUCUUGUUAUAUUAUUGUAAUCUGAGCGUCUUAUUUUAAUAAGUCAAAACUUUCAACAACGGAUCUCUUGGUUCUG
rnacentral:misc_RNA from 1 species